CCUACGGGAGGCAGCAGUGGGGAAUAUUGGGCAAUGGAGGCAACUCUGACCCAGCAACGCCGCGUGAAUGAUGAAGGUCUUCGGAUUGUAAAGUCCUGUGAUGGGGGAUGAACACAAUGACGGUACCCCAAUAGCAAGCCACGGCGAACUACGUGCCAGCAGCCGCGGUAAUACGUAGGUGGCCAGCGUUAUCCGGAAUGACGGGGCGUAAAGGGUGCGUAGGUGGUUUAGGAAGUUGGCGGUUAAAUUCCGGGGCUCAACCUCGGCGCUACCGCCGAAACUAUUAGACUAGAGUGCAGGAGGGGUAGGUGGAAUGCGUGGUGUAGCGGUGGAAUGCGUAGAUAUUAGGAGGAACAUCAAGGGCGAAGGCGACUUACUGGACUGUAACUGACGCUGAGGCACGAAAGCGUGGGGAGCAAACAGGAUUAGAUACCCCAGUAGUC
rnacentral:rRNA from 1 species